UGAGAGUUCUCGUGAAGGUUUGCAGA
rnacentral:piRNA from 1 species